rnacentral:sRNA from 1 species
UCAUAGCCCCGAUGGCAGCGGAUAUACUUGCCGCAGUCCGGUUUGACGCGCGGGGCAAGAUAGCAGCGUACAGCGGGACCACCG